rnacentral:ncRNA from 2 species
CGGUCCGCCUUCGCCGGAGACGGCGUAAGGGGAGGAAGCCCGGUGCGACUCCGGCGCGGUCCCGCCACUGUGAACCCGGCCCGGUGGCCGGGUGAGCCAGGAACUCCCGCCG